UAACCCCAUCACCGCCGGCCCUCCCCAUCGCCUCCGACCAUCCCCCUCGUCCCAUCCCAUCUCCUAGCUCUGGAGGUUUUCUAAUCCGCCACGCCUCGCACCCACGCAUCCCUCUCGCGUCCCAUCUCUCGCUCUUCACGCGGCUCCUCCUUGCGUCACCUACGGCGGCUGAGUCUGGCGACAUCUAGCGGAUCCCAAACCGCCAGGAACAUCCCGACGUCCCCUCGCACCGCGGCGCUUUCCAUCCAGCUAGAUCCGAUGCUCGCAGCCACACAAACCCACCCCGCUACCCUCCCCCCUAGCUAGGGUUUCGGGCGUAGGCUCCGGCGCCGGUGGCCAUGUGGUCUUCCCUCGUCCAGUGAGUGCAUCCCCUCCCUUUGCUUCGUACUCCCUCUCCCCCCAUUCUCUAACAUAUGCUCUUCUCUUCUCCUGUAGAGAUGCAGGGAGGAAUCGUUGGUGGAUAGCCAUGUUGCUACUCGGGACAAAGCAGCAAUGGAUCCUGCUCCUCCCUAUCCACCUCUGGCUUCACGUGAUUUGGUCCACUCCUCCUCUUUGCUCUAGUUUCUGGCAUAUAUCCACCACAUCUCUCCCUAGGCUGAUUAAAGAAUUAAUGCCAUGAUGAUUGUUGCAGCAGAAUAGGAAGUCCAGCGACGACAGUUUAAAUCGGAUGGGGGCAACGAGGCUACCACGCAGUUGUACGAUGACCUGGCAGGGAGAUGAUUAAACACACUCUACUCUGUUCCAGGUCUCGAUUGUUACUCUUGCCCCCACUAUGGAGAGUCGGCCUUUAUCACCAGAUUCCAUAUUUUGUUUCUGUAGCUAGCUAGAGCGUUGAGUUCUUUGUGAAAGCCAAAUUUAUUUUCUUGAUAUAAAUUAGUUGAUGAAGAAAUUUGUUAGUUAUAUGUGUUUCUACGAGCACCAUUGUUCGCCCCGUUAUACUCCGUAUGGAGUGGAGAAGAGUCAUGAGGGGUGGUCUUCAUGUCCUCUAGUGGCAAUGCAAAAUUCUGCUUUCGGGUUGUAUUAGCUAUGUCAAUAACUGAAAUACGAGCCACCUAGUUGACUAUGAUAUUAAUAGCUCAAUUUGCAUCCGAAUUUCCAUGUCAGCCCAUGCUAGACAAAGUAAUUAAUUAGUUGAUUUUUGGACAUACAUGCUUUCAUAAAUUUAUGUCAUUUCUUAUGUAUAUCCACCAGAACUGCAGUUAACUUCCUGGUAUAUUUUAUUUAUCUUCUGAGUUUCAGGAUUAAGAUAAGCAACUAUGAUACUGAGAGAUUACAUAGUUUUCUAUAAUGUGAUGCUUAGCAUAUCAGCUUCCCUGCUUUUACUAGGUAGGAAGACUACAAUCCCACUUCCGAUGCAAAAGUUAUGCUAAUAGCAAGGAGUAAAUGAUUUGUACAAGUUCAUGUUUACGUCAUAGGUUGGUAAUGAGGUUUCAAUAUAAAAUGGAACAUUCUUGAAUGUUCUUGUGGAAUGUUCCUACAAUCAUUAUUAUGGGAGUAAUAUUCUAAACAUUUGUUACUAACAACAUAUAUAUCAUUCCUCUCAGUUUCAUUAUCUGGAUUACAGAGCAGCCCCUUAUGGAGAACAUAAUAAGGAUCUCAUGUGGAAGUGGGAGAAGGGACGCCACCAAUCUGUGCCGGUUUGUGUUGCUCCAACCGUUUCACUACAUACCAUAAAAAUGCUUAUCUUUGUUCCAUUUGACAUGUUCAACAUUGGAAAACAUGUAUACAUAUGCAACGAUUUCUGCCAUACACUAAGACACCCAUAUUAGGCUCAUAUAUUUGAAGUACGUAACAUGAACCCCUCAAAGAAAUGGUAAACUAAUUCAUAUGGGUUCAUAAUCACCUUGAGGUAAGUUAUGAAUGUAUUUCUAUCUACUAUGUAUGCUAGUAAUUUGUUAUGUAUAACAAAUAUUACAUGGCCUUCUGCAUUUGCACGUGACUAAUAACCCGCCUCUAUCAUUACUUGCAUCAUGUCAAUUCAUUGGCUGUUAACAGUUCAUUUUGGUAUUUUCUUUAUAGAUUCAAAAAAUAUAUGGAUAAUUAUAUGGGUGUUGUGGCAAGUAUACUGCAAUGAUGACGAUGAUGUUCCAGUUCAUGAUGAUGAUGAUGAUGAUGAUGGUGGUGGUGGUGGUGGUGGAUGCUUUCAGUUUUAGUUAAGUUGUAGGGAUGCUGUUCCUGUUGGAUGAUGUUACUCAAUUAAAUUUUCGUUAAGUUGUAGGGAUGUAAAGAAAACAUUUAUAUUAUGCAUCUCAUUGGGAUGAUGUUCCUUCAGUAAUAUCCACUAUUGUAAUCCAACAGUUUUAUCCAAUAUAUGAUUUCUUCCUCUUGUGA